AUUGAACGCUGGCGGCAGGCCUAACACAUGCAAGUCGAGCGGGGUUUUCGGACUUAGCGGCGGACGGGUGAGUAAUGCGUAGGAAGCUGCCCGAUAGAGGGGGAUACCAGUUGGAAACGACUGUUAAUACCGCAUAAUGUCUACGGACCAAAGUGUGGGACCUUCGGGCCACAUGCUAUCGGAUGCGCCUACGUGGGAUUAGCUAGUUGGUGAGGUAAUGGCUCACCAAGGCGACGAUCUCUAGCUGGUUUGAGAGGAUGAUCAGCCACACUGGAACUGAGACACGGUCCAGACUCCUACGGGAGGCAGCAGUGGGGAAUUUUGGACAAUGGGCGCAAGCCUGAUCCAGCCAUGCCGCGUGUGUGAAGAAGGCCUUCGGGUUGUAAAGCACUUUCAGCGAGGAGGAAGGGUGGUGUGUUAAUAGCACAUCAUUUUGACGUUACUCGCAGAAGAAGCACCGGCUAACUCUGUGCCAGCAGCCGCCGUAACAC
rnacentral:rRNA from 1 species